CCCGACUGCUAUUGGGGAAGAAUAACCCGUGCGAGUUGUAUGGGAUACCUAACUUUCCCAUAGCAUACUGCUUAGUAACACAUGAUCAACUUGCCCUAUGGAGAAAUAUAACCUCGGGAAACUGAGGAUAAUGAUUCAUAGUUGAAUAGGCUUGGAAAAGUUUUUCAAUGAAAGGGAUAAGAAAAAUGGUUCUUAUCUGCCAUAGGAUAGGAUCGUGCUCGAUUAUGGUUGUUGGUGAGGUAACGGCUCACCAAGCCGAUAAUCGAUAGGGGCCAUGAGAGCGGGAGCCCCAAGAUGGGUACUGAGACAGCGACCCAGGCCUUACGAGGCGCAGCAGGUACGAAACCUCCGCAAUACACGAAAGUGUGACGGGGUUACCCAAAGUGUUCUUAUUGAACUGUGGCAGGUGAGUAAUGUCCCCUGCUAGAAAGGAGAGGGCAAGGCUGGUGCCAGCCGCCGCGGUAAAACCAGCUCUUCAAGUGGUCGGGAUAAUUAUUGGGCUUAAAGUGUCCGUAGCCGGUUUAGUAAGUUCCUGGUAAAAUCAGGUAGCUUAACUAUCUGCAUGCUAGGAAUACUGCUUUACUAGAGGGCGGGAGAGGUCUGAGGUACUACAGGGGUAGGGGUGAAAUCUUAUAAUCCUUGUAGGACCACCAGUGGCGAAGGCGUCAGACUGGAACGCGCCUGACGGUGAGGGACGAAAGCCAGGGGAGCGAACCGGAUUAGAUACCCGGGUAGUCCUGGCCGUAAACGAUGCAUACUAGGUGAUGGUACGGCCAUGAGCCGUGUCAGUGCCGUAGGGAAACCGUUAAGUGUGCCGCCUGGGAAGUACGGUCGCAAGGCUAAAACUUAAAGGAAUUGGCGGGGGAGCACCACAAGGGGUGAAGCAUGCGGUUCAACAGGAGUAUUCAACGCCGGA
rnacentral:rRNA from 1 species